rnacentral:rRNA from 1 species
GAUGAACGCUGGCGGCGUGCCUAUACAUGCAAGUCGAGCGAACAGACGAGGAGCUUGCUCCUCUGACGUUAGCGGCGGACGGGUGAGUAACACGUGGAUAACCUACCUAUAAGACUGGGAUAACUUCGGGAAACCGGAGCUAAUACCGGAUAAUAUAUUGAACCGCAUGGUUCAAUAGUGAAAGACGGUUUUGCUGUCACUUAUAGAUGGAUCCGCGCCGCAUUAGCUAGUUGGUAAGGUAACGGCUUACCAAGGCAACGAUGCGUAGCCGACCUGAGAGGGUGAUCGGCCACACUGGAACUGAGACACGGUCCAGACUCCUACGGGAGGCAGCAGUAGGGAAUCUUCCGCAAAGGGCGAAAGCCUGACGGAGCAACGCCGCGUGAGUGAUGAAGGUCUUCGGAUCGUAAAACUCUGUUAUUAGGGAAGAACAAAUGUGUAAGUAACUAUGCACGUCUUGACGGUACCUAAUCAGAAAGCCACGGCUAACUACGUG